GACCCGGUGCUUGCACCGGUGAUUAGUGGCGAACGGGUGAGUAACACGUGAGUAACCUGCCCUUAACUCUGGGAUAAGCCUGGGAAACUGGGUCUAAUACCGGAUAUGACUCCUCAUCGCAUGGUGGGGGGUGGAAAGCUUUAUUGUGGUUUUGGAUGGACUCGCGGCCUAUCAGCUUGUUGGUGAGGUAAUGGCUCACCAAGGCGACGACGGGUAGCCGGCCUGAGAGGGUGACCGGCCACACUGGGACUGAGACACGGCCCAGACUCCUACGGGAGGCAGCAGUGGGGAAUAUUGCACAAUGGGCGAAAGCCUGAUGCAGCGACGCCGCGUGAGGGAUGACGGCCUUCGGGUUGUAAACCUCUUUCAGUAGGGAAGAAGCGAAAGUGACGGUACCUGCAGAAGAAGCGCCGGCUAACUACGUGCCAGCAGCCGCGGUAAUACGUAGGGCGCAAGCGUUAUCCGGAAUUAUUGGGCGUAAAGAGCUCGUAGGCGGUUUGUCGCGUCUGCCGUGAAAGUCCGGGGCUCAACUCCGGAUCUGCGGUGGGUACGGGCAGACUAGAGUGAUGUAGGGGAGACUGGAAUUCCUGGUGUAGCGGUGAAAUGCGCAGAUAUCAGGAGGAACACCGAUGGCGAAGGCAGGUCUCUGGGCAUUAACUGACGCUGAGGAGCGAAAGCAUGGGGAGCGAACAGGAUUAGAUACCCUGGUAGUCCAUGCCGU
rnacentral:rRNA from 1 species